AGCCCGCGGCGCAGCGGCCGCCACGCUGCGCCCCGAGGCCCAGCCGCUGCGGCGCCGGCGGGAGCAGCGGCCGACCGCCGAUUAGUUUUAUCUCGGAACGUCAAUUGACUUAUACUGAUUGGCUUCCUGCCGCCAAAUGUCAAUUAAAUUGCAAAUGUUCAGCGGAGGCCCAGCGCGGGCCGCGAUGGCAGGCGGCCCCUUCCCGAGGGCGCCCGGUGCUGCCGCGGCGGGUUUGAGCUUUCCUUCGAAGCGGCAUGACCGAGCCUUCCCGGGUCAGCAACCCUCAGGCCCCGCCUAGGAAUUGGAGGGGUCGACCCACGGAAGCCGAACAAGCCUGUCUUGGAGUAACUCCUGCUUCUGAGAAGAGGGACCUUUGCUAGGUGACAAGGCUGGGUCUUGGGAUGUAACUUCUGGCAUGGUAUUUAAUAAACUCCCUCUCGCUGCUCCCGCCUGGUUUUCCUCACCAGCCAAGGCUCAGAAGAACUUGGAUGCUUGGAAUCUUCAAGUUUGAGUGUGCUGUAGGAAAUUCUGUCUGGUGCCCUGGGCUUCACAACCUUCUGAAGCAGAUUCUGUUUGCUGGCUUGCUUUGCUUUGAAACAAGGUCUCCUGUAUUCCAACCUGACCUGGACCAUCCUAUGUAACGGAGGAUAACCUGGAACUUCUGAUGUUCCUGCCUCCACUCUCUGAGACCUGGGAUUACAGGUGUGCACCACCAUGACCUUUUUGUGUGGUUCUAGGGAUAAAAGGGGCUACGACUCCAGGAGACACUAUUUUUUGUUACCGUUGUUGGGGUUCUGUUUUGGUUUGUGGCAGGCUCUCUCUAUGGAGGCCUGGAAUUGGUGAUCUGCCCGCCUCCAUCCUCUCCUAUUAGAAUUGUAGGUGGGGACCACCAAGAUUGACUCCUGAAAAGUCCUGGCCACUGCUCUCUCCGAGAGAGUGACUAGGGCACAAGGCAGGGAAGUCAUCCCAGAGUUCCCAAAGACAAGUGACCUUGGGACCUGCAUUCCUCCAGAGCUUUGGUUUCACUGUUUGCUCACAGUGGACGGACAACCGGACAACCAUCAAUGCUCUCUGCCUGCAUAGAGUACCAUCACUCCCAGAGCACUUUCCUGUGUUCUGGGGCUCACUAAACUUGCCAGGACUCCAAAGGAAUCACUCAGUCUCUCUUUGAUGGUGUUGGGAUUUCAGAUGUGCACCACCACACCUGGCUGAGCUCUUCCUUUUCUGAAGAAAGAAGAUGAUGGGAUACUGGUCCGGGUUGGCCUAGCAGGUGUAUCUGCGGCCCUGUCAGAGAUCCUUCCCCUCUCUAGAGCUCAGCCUCCACCCGUGGGACAGAAGAACUGAACCAGGCAACCUGUCUGUCCUCUGGCAGUGCUCCCACAUUGGUUUCUUGGCCCUAAGGACUCCACAAAUAAGAUUAAUGCACCCACCAGGGGAAUCAGCAAGGGAGAGUGUGUGUGUCACUGAAGGGUUGAAGUGCUGUUGCCCAGAGAAAAGCACUUGGCUUGGCUUCACCAGGAAGCCAGCUCAGAUCCAUCCCAUGGGGAGGAGCUUAGCUGCAUGGCUUGUGGCUGUUUCCAGAGUUUGCCAUGUUGUCCAAGGAUGACAACACGAAGAAGAAACACCAGAAAGUUGGCCAAAGACCAAGAAGCCAGUAAACAAAUGUGAGGCAAAGUCACAAUAGGUGAUCCAAAGGCAAAGUUCAGGACCAAGUCAUCCACCUGGUCCUAUUUGACAAACUCUGUAGACAGUGCCCAACUAAGAACCACUCCAGCUGUGCUCUCUGAGAGACUGAAGGUUCCAGGUUCCCUGGCCAGAGCAGCCUUCAGGAGUGUCUUAGCAGAAGAUGCAUCCACCUGACUUCAAAGCUCAAAGCCCAUGUCAUCCUCACCAGAAACACAAAGAAUAGAGAUGCCCUAGCUAACGCCAAAGACACCAGAGUACAUUCAACAGACAGGAUAUUUGAAAAAAGUAAAACUUUAUUAAACUAAAACCAACAAACUUCGUCACAGAAAGGACCCACAUAGCUGGGAGCCAGAAGGGUCCCAGUUUGCCUUUCUAGAGUCUUUGUUGCAGUUCCAGCAUGAACCUCACUAUGACCUUGAGCAAGACUGCUCCAUUGUGGCCUCAGCUCAGACACGGAGUUCCCAUAAAUUGUUCUUUGAUUAUUUUAAGUAAUCAAAUACUUUUCAUAAAAAUAUUAAAACUUUGCAGGAAGGCUCUCAGUAUUUAAAGAUCGAGGCUGCAUUGACUCCUCUUUCCCCGAAGCCUGGCAGCUCUGACACUCUCCAGGAGCAUGGGGAGGGAGCCCUGAUAGGGAGCUUCCAGCAGGAUCAGUGGGAGCCUCCAGACACCACUAGCAUGGCACAUCUUUGAACACAGAGCAAAGAUAACCCAAAGUCCCUGGAAAUGGGUGAGGCGUGAUAUCAUAAAAGAUGGACUUUCUCUAGAAGAGUUCUGUUCCUGGCUCGAACUGCUCGUGUUUAACGGGACACUUGGUAGAGCUUUAUGUCAUUAUUAAAGUACUCUGUGUUCAUCAUAGGCUACUUUUCAUUUUUCUGUGUAUGAGCAUGUGUCUGCACACUCCCGUGCACAUCGUGUGAGUGUGUGUGGAGGCCAAGAGACAACCUCGGAUGUUGUUACUCGGGGUAGGCUGGCUAGCCAGUGACCCAGAGGGUCUGUCUUCCCCCUCCUUCGCCAUAUGGGCUCCAAAGAUCAAGCAAACACUCAGGUUGGUGGCAAGCACCAUCCCUUGGCUGAGCCACCUCACAGAACUCUACCAAGCUUUCAUAAAUGUGGAUUCUAAGGACUCAAAAUCAGGUGCUUGUUCUCACAGGGCAAGCCCUUUGCCCCCUGAGCCAUUUCCCCAGGUCCACUAUAGACUGUGUGGAUAACAUAUAAGUAUAAUAAAGAUAUCUAUGAGGUGUGGUGCUGCAAGUCUGUAAUCCCAGAACUUGGAAAGCUGAGACACAAAAGACUGAAAGUUUGAGGCCAGCCUGAACUAUCAAGACCCCAUCUC
rnacentral:lncRNA from 1 species